AGAGUUUGAUCCUGGCUUAGGAUUAACGCUGGCGGCGUGCCUAAUACAUGCAAGUCGAAUGGUAGUAGCAAUACAAACCAUGGCGAACGGGUGAGUAACACGUAGGUAACCUGUCUUUAAGACGAGGAUAACCGUUGGAAACGACGGAUAAUACUGGAUAGGACAUCACAAAGGGCAUCCUUAGAUGUUUAAAGAUUAUUAUGUCACUUAGAGAGGGGCCUGCGGCGCAUUAGCUAGUUGGUGAGGUAAGAGCCCACCAAGGCGAUGAUGCGUAGCCGGACUGAGAGGUUGAACGGCCACAAUGGAACUGAGAACGGUCCAUACUCCUACGGGAGGCAGCAGUAGGGAAUUUUCGGCAAUGGGCGCAAGCCUGAACCCGAGCAACGCCGCGUGAACGAAGAAGUUAUUCGUAAUGUAAAGUUCUUUUAUCUGGGAAGAAAAACAAAUUGACGGUACCAGAUGAAUAAGCUCCGGCUAACUACGUGCCAGCAGCCGC
rnacentral:rRNA from 1 species